rnacentral:lncRNA from 1 species
UGUUGCAAUCUCUACUUAAUCAUAAACCUCCAUGCUGUAGUAUUACUUUAAGAGAUGAGUUCAUAUUGGGCACAAUGGCAUACAACCUUUAACCCCAGCAUUUGGAGGGUGGAAAUUGGGGGAAAGGAGGCAGGUGGAUCUCUGUGAGUUUGAGACUACCCCCAUCUAUAUAGUAAGUUCCAAGGCUACAGAUAGACAGUGUCUCAAACAAACAAUCAGUUUACAUCAGACUGUUUUAGAGAAUGAAUUCACUCUAAAACAGUAUGGUAGGAUGAGAACAUGUUCAGACAAAGAGAAACAGAAUUCCUUAAAGAUACCUCACAAGAUAACUGAUAAACACACACAGCCAAAGCCACACACACACACACACACACACACACACACACACACACAAACACACACACACUGGCAACAGCAGACAUUUAUUAGGUGGAGAAGGUCCUAGGUUUUGUUAUGGGAAGUGGUAACUGGCAAGCCCGGGGCACAGAUGCAAGGAGGCAUUCCCAGCACGAGCAUUCACGCUCCUCCUUAACCCUGAUCUUGCAGGAGCAGCUUCUCGGAGACCAACAAUCACAUGAAGGGCUUGCAGUAUUUUUAGUUCAACUUGGCCAACAACUCUUCCAGUUCCGGCCGAGCUUUGAACCUUCCCUUGAAGUCUUCUUCAGUGUGCUGGGACAAGGGGAAAAAAAAGGCAGUCACCACAGAGCAGUUUUUACCCCCACACACAGGCAUUCAAAAAGGGCCCAUGCUACUUGAAGGGAGAGAAUCUGGAGGUCA